GAUGAACGCUGGCGGCGUGCCUAAUACAUGCCAGUCGAGCGAACAGACGAGGAGCUUGCUCCUCUGACGUUAGCGGCGGACGGGUGAGUAACACGUGGAUAACCUACCUAUAAGACUGGGAUAACUUCGGGAAACCGGAGCUAAUACCGGAUAAUAUAUUGAACCGCAUGGUUCAAUAGUGAAAGACGGUUUUGCUGUCACUUAUAGAUGGAUCCGCGCCGCAUUAGCUAGUUGGUAAGGUAACGGCUUACCAAGGCAACGAUGCGUAGCCGACCUGUGAGGGUGAUCGGCCACACUGGAACUGAGACACGGUCCAGACUCCUACGGGAGGCAGCAGUAGGGAAUCGUCCGCAAUGGGCGAAAGCUUGACGGAGCAACGCCGCGUGAGUGAUGAAGGUCUUCGGAUCGUAAAACUCUGUUAUUAGGGAAGAACAAAUGUGUAAGUAACUAUGCACGUCUUGACGGUACCUAAUCAGAAAGCCACGGCUAACUACGUG
rnacentral:rRNA from 1 species